rnacentral:rRNA from 1 species
UACGAAGGGGGCUAGCGUUGUUCGGAAUUACUGGGCGUAAAGCGCACGUAGGCGAAUUGUUAAGUUAGGGGUGAAAUCCCAGGGCUCAACCCUGGAACUGCCUUUAAUACUGGCAAUCUCGAGUCCGAGAGAGGUGAGUGGAAUUCCGAGUGUAGAGGUGAAAUUCGUAGAUAUUCGGAGGAACACCAGUGGCGAAGGCGGCUCACUGGCUCGGUACUGACGCUGAGGUGCGAAAGCGUGGGGAGCAAACAGG